rnacentral:rRNA from 1 species
GACGAACGCUGGCGGCGUGCUUAACACAUGCAAGUCGAACGGAAAGGCCCUGCUUUUGUGGGGUGCUCGAGUGGCGAACGGGUGAGUAACACGUGAGUAACCUGCCCUUGACUUUGGGAUAACUUCAGGAAACUGGGGCUAAUACCGGAUAGGAGCUCCUGCUGCAUGGUGGGGGUUGGAAAGUUUCGGCGGUUGGGGAUGGACUCGCGGCUUAUCAGCUUGUUGGUGGGGUAGUGGCUUACCAAGGCUUUGACGGGUAGCCGGCCUGAGAGGGUGACCGGCGACAUUGGGACUGAGAUACGGCCCAGACUCCUACGGGAGGCAGCAGUGGGGAAUAUUGCACAAUGGGCGGAAGCCUGAUGCAGAAACGCCGCGUGCGGGAUGACGGCCUUCGGGUUGUAAACCGCUUUCGCCUGUAACGAAGCGUGAGUGACGGUAAUGGGUAAAGAAGCACCGGCUAACUACGUG